UCCACGCCCUGCGCGCUGAACGUUCUUUAUUCAUUGGUUACUUUUCCUAACAAAGCGCUGUAAACCAAAGUCGGGAUAUCCUCCUGAGGGGUCUGGCUGGGACCCAUGCGGCCUCGGGGCCUCCUGUCAGUGCCAGCCUUGCCCCUGACUCCUGCUACCUCAGCUUGGCCAGACCAUCUCCCCAGGAUGGGUCAGGGCCUGGGUUUCUGAGGAGUGGAAGCUUCAGGACUCACACCCACCGCCAGCCUCCCUCGCCCUUCACGGAGCUGGGAUCCCUGGAGGUAAGAAGUGGAUUUAUUUAGAGAAACAUACUCCACAGACAGAGUGUGGGCCAUCUCAGAAGGCGAAAGCGGCCAACCCUAGAAUUCUUUUGACCUUUUUUAGCCAAAUUCAGCUGGAGGGUUGGAAUAAGGCCAAGAGGAUUCUUCCCAUCUCACAGAGAGGAACUGAGGCUACAAGGACAGAAUUUGUUGCACUAGAGCCAGGACCAGCACCCAGAAGUCCUGUGCUUUCCAGACUGCUUUGCACCACACCCAGGCUCAGCACACAUUUGGAAAACCUCCACUUUCAACGUGGUGCCUGAAGGUGAACAUUCAGAAACCUUCAGAGUUCCCUACCCCCAGUUCAACUCCACAGGUGGCAUUAAGCCAUCCACGAGCCAGUCCCAAUCUACCUUUCUAGGCUUUUCUCCCACCACCCCACAUCACGCUCCAGCCAAACUCGACUCCUACCUGUCUCUGGCUGGCUUGAUUCCCAUGGGUCUUCCUUGCUGGCUUCCCCUCGUCCCCUGAUGUUCUCCUGCUGCCCUGCCUAUCCAGUGUCCGUCUGCCCGCUUCCCCGCCAACCUCGCAAUCGCUUCUCCACUCCCUGGUGGGCUCUUCUUUCUCUUCAUGCCCUUGAGCCUGGAUAUUCCCCAGGCUUCAGCCUCCGUUCUGUGGGCAGUCUUACCUCCUCUCAAGGUUUUAGCUGCUGCCUCUAUCUAAAACUCCAAAUCUCCAGACUGGAGUUUGCCGCUAAGCUUCAGGCCCAGGCAUCCCCAACAUGUGUACAUCUCACAGACUCCUAGAACUCAACUUCAAGCCUUUCUUUCUGAUUGUAUUAUUCCCCAGUGGAACUAACUGCAUCAGAAUGACUGCAAUGCUGUCACUCAUGCCAGAUACCAGGGAGCCAUUCUAGAUUUCUCUUCCUCUCUUCCUACAUCCAGUCAAUUGAGUUCUGCUGUUCCACUUCCUACGGAAAUCUGAAAUCCACCGUCUCCUCUCCAUCCCUACAGCCCCGCCCUAGCUCAGGCUUGCAACACCUGGUGCGUGGGCUGUGGCCGCGGUGUACAAACUGGUAUCUGUCCUGAGAAUCAGGUCCUGGUACCCCACACCCUGCCCCGGCUCACGAACUCCUCUCUGGUGCCCAGUGGCCUGUAGAGUCGUGUCCCAGCUUCCCGACACAGUGCCCUGGAUUCUCUGCGACCCAGCUCCUGGCACCUGGCUCCCUCUCCACAUCAUCUCUUGCACACCCUGCCGUGCUUCCUCUUCAGCUACCCGUACCAUGGUGUGUAAGGUCUUUGCUCAGUGUUCUUCCUUCUGCCCCACAGCUUCCUGCCUUGCUUCACCUGGCUACCCUACUCAUUCCGUAGCUCGCAGCUGAAGGAGGCAUCGCCGCCUCCCCAGGCUGGGCGGGGUGAGCGCCCCUGCUCAGUGUUCCCAUGGGCUUUUCAACUCCUUUCUUUUACAUGUAACAUCUCGUGCUGAUACACAUCUGUUUGUGUCUCCCUUCUCCGAGAUGCCACAAGCUCUUCAAGGGACUCUGUCUUACCUUUGUGGCCUUGACACCUACCUAGUCCAGGGCCUGGCACACAGCAGGUGCCCAUCCAAUGAAUCCAUGCGUACUUGCCCUCAACUGAAAGCAACCUCUGCUCCUGUGACCUCCCUUCUCUCCCGCAUCUAGUGCCUUUUCUAGUUUGUGUCCUAGCGUUCUCUUAAAGGUCUCCUGUUUCACUGCAAGCUCAUUGAGGACAAGGACUGGCAUUCCAUUCAUCUUUGAAUUUCUCCAGAGUGUCUGAGAGAAAGAGUUAUUAGGAAAACAGACAGGAAGCCCCUAGCUCGGGCCCAGCCUGCUCCUGGGUCCCACUGCUCCCAAGCCAGCAGAGGGAGCCUUUGCCCUGGCAGCUCUGGCCGCACCUCUAACGCCAUCCCCAGCGGGACUGCAGCCAU